rnacentral:rRNA from 1 species
GAGCUUGACAUCCCACGAACCUGUGGAAACACGGGAGUGCCUUCGGGAGCGGAGAGACAGGUGGUGCAUGGUUGUCGUCAGCUCGUGUCGUGAGAUGUUGGGUUAAGUCCCGCAACGAGCGCAACCCUUAUGAUCAGUUACCAGCGGGUGAAGCCGGGGACUCUGGUCAGACUGCCGGUGACAAACCGGAGGAAGGUGGGGAUGACGUCAAGUCAGCAUGGCCUUGAUGUCUGGGGCCACACACGUGCUACAAUGGCCGGUACAAACCGUGGCGAGCCCGCGAGGGGGAGCUAAUCGGGAAAAGCCGGUCUCAGUUCGGAUCGCAGGCUGCAACUCGCCUGCGUGAAGGUGGAAUCGCUAGUAAUCGCAGAUCAGCACGCUGCGGUGAAUACGUUCCCGGGCCUUGUACACACCGCCCGUCACAUCACGAAAGCUGGCUGUACUCGAAGUCGCUGAG